rnacentral:rRNA from 1 species
UACAGAGGUCCCAAGCGUUGUUCGGAUUUAUUGGGCGUAAAGGGUGCGUAGGCGGCGGAGUAAGUUGGGUGUGAAAUCCCGGGGCUUAACCUCGGAAUUGCAUUCGAUACUGCUUCGCUAGAGUACUGGAGAGGAGGCUGGAAUUCAUGGUGUAGCAGUGAAAUGCGUAGAGAUCAUGAGGAAGACCAGUGGCGAAGGCGGGUCUCUGGACAGUUCCUGACACUGAGACACGAAGGCCAGGGGAGCAAACGGG